AAUUGCUUUGAAUUCUGUCCACGGACGACACACGAAAGUAUCUGCUGGAGAUCAAAUAUCUAUUAUCACAUUUUUUCCACCGGCUAGUUUUUCUCUGGCAUUGCUUACUCUUGAGCUGGACUAUGUUAAAGCAAAAGCCAAUAGAAAUGAAGAGUUAGAUGCCGUCGUUCUUGCACAACAUCUUCAAAAGAAGUUUAGUAAUUAGGUUAGGAAAUCC